CUCACCUUCAGGCGUUUGGACUUGGUGUAGGUUGUGAGUGCCCAGCUGUGUGGGCUGAACCUCCGUGGGGUUUAGGGAGAAGAAAGGACCCCAGAUCGACGUCCCCUCGUUCCCAAUUUGGGGAUCGGCGCUCUGGCUGUUUGGUGAAAGAGAGAGAGGAACUCAGAGUGGUUUUCCAGAUGGGAAUCACAUUGCUCUCUGUCCCUGAGAUCUUGCUGGAGACAGGACUACUCAGUCCCUCUUUGCUGGGUCAUCUGUUCCAGAGGAAACAUGUGUCAUUCUGACUGAGCCCCUGCCUGUCUGUCACCUUAAGAACCAGUCAAUUCAUAUGGUCCACAUAUCAAGGUCUCCUGUGCCCAGAGAGAGAGAAGAUUUCAUUUCAACCAUCACCAUCACCACCAUCAUCAUCAUCACCAGGAAGGGUUGUUGAAUUGAUAUUGGAAAAGCAGUUUCUAUUGAGCCCCCAAAUGAAGAGUGAGUGCAGAUGAAGAGGAGGCAGGACUCACAAGCCCUUGACCUUCAUUCCAGACCCAUUAGCACCUACAGGACCCUGCACCGGGAUUUCAUCUGCACUGUCAGCUUCUUCAAAGAGAGAGAGGUUGUUGAAUUGAUACUGGAAAAGCAGUUUCCCAUUGAGUCUCAAAUGAAGAGAGAGUGCAGAUGAAGAGGAGCUCUUCAUGUGGAUGUCUGAGCUCCUAUCAGGUGUCUGAAAGAGGCAGAUUCUGAGGAUUUGGGUCAUGAUGGCUGCCAAAGCUUCUACGCCUGACUUAAAGGGCAACAAUCCUAGGAGACCACCAGCACUUACAUCCCUGGUGGGACAUGACACCUGCUUAUGGCCCAGAAGUGACAAAAGAGAAUUAUCAGGAUGGCAGUCCUUAUAACCAGAUGCUUAUGAACAUUCUUCACUACAUUCUGAAGAUGAAUUUCUACAAGGGAAAUUGUUUAUGGAGGCAGCAGAUUGCUGAAAUUCUGAAGCAAUGUGGCUGGUUAAUGCACGAUCUGAAAACCCCUGCACUGGUGAUUUUGGGACAGAUCUAGAAUAUACCAAUAAAUAUAUUAACAUACCAAGUAGUCCAGGAGCAGCCACUGGGCAAACACCAAACCUUGCAUCCCCGGUGCUGUCUCUGAGCUCAACAGACACGUCUUUGCAGAAGAGUUCUAUAAUGGUGGUACAAUGGCGCCCCCCUCAUGACAGAAGCUUGAACUACAGCUUGAACAUCGUGUGACAUGGUGAAUGAAUUUAUUGAGCCCCAGAAAGAAGGAAUAUUAAAGAAGAGCAAAGAAUAAUAGCUGUACAGAAGAUGGGGGUCAUUGAACCUGUAUCCUAGUUGCCAGACCUGUAAAGUGACCACGGGACCUGGGGGAGGCAGCAGAUGACCGAAAACCUGAAGUGAUGUGGCUGAAUACUGCAUGAUCCGAAGACUCUGCACUGGUGACUGCG